AACGAACGCUGGCGGCGUGCCUAACACAUGCAAGUCGUACGGGAAAGUGGGCUUCGGCCCGCGAGUAGAGUGGCAGACGGGUGAGUAACACGUGGGUAACCUACCCGGAGGUGGGGGAUAACCUUCCGAAAGGAGGGCUAAUACCGCAUGACAUCUCAGGGGCCUCGGCCCCGGAGAGCAAGGCUAGCCUCUACAUGUAAGCUAGCGCCACCGGAUGGGCCCGCGGCCCAUUAGCUAGGUUGGNGGGGUAACGGCCCACCAAGGCGACGAUGGGUAGCCGGCCUGAGAGGGUGUCCGGCCACACUGGAACUGAGACACGGUCCAGACUCCUACGGGAGGCAGCAGGUGAGGAAUCUUGCGCAAUGGGCGAAAGCCUGACGCAGCGACGCCGCGUGAGGACG
rnacentral:rRNA from 1 species